GGGUUGUGAGGUUAAGCGACUAAGCGUACACGGUGGAUGCCCUGGCAGUCAGAGGCGAUGAAGGACGUGCUAAUCUGCGAUAAGCGUCGGUAAGGUGAUAUGAACCGUUAUAACCGGCGAUUUCCGAAUGGGGAAACCCAGUGUGUUUCGACACACUAUCAUUAACUGAAUCCAUAGGUUAAUGAGGCGAACCGGGGGAACUGAAACAUCUAAGUACCCCGAGGAAAAGAAAUCAACCGAGAUUCCCCCAGUAGCGGCGAGCGAACGGGGAGCAGCCCAGAGCCUGAAUCAGUAUGUGUGUUAGUGGAAGCGUCUGGAAAGGCGCGCGAUACAGGGUGACAGCCCCGUACACAAAAAUGCACAUGCUGUGAGCUCGAUGAGUAGGGCGGGACACGUGGUAUCCUGUCUGAAUAUGGGGGGACCAUCCUCCAAGGCUAAAUACUCCUGACUGACCGAUAGUGAACCAGUACCGUGAGGGAAAGGCGAAAAGAACCCCGGCGAGGGGAGUGAAAAAGAACCUGAAACCGUGUACGUACAAGCAGUGGGAGCACGCUUAGGCGUGUGACUGCGUACCUUUUGUAUAAUGGGUCAGCGACUUAUAUUCUGUAGCAAGGUUAACCGAAUAGGGGAGCCGAAGGGAAACCGAGUCUUAACUGGGCGUUAAGUUGCAGGGUAUAGACCCGAAACCCGGUGAUCUAGCCAUGGGCAGGUUGAAGGUUGGGUAACACUAACUGGAGGACCGAACCGACUAAUGUUGAAAAAUUAGCGGAUGACUUGUGGCUGGGGGUGAAAGGCCAAUCAAACCGGGAGAUAGCUGGUUCUCCCCGAAAGCUAUUUAGGUAGCGCCUCGUGAAUUCAUCUCCGGGGGUAGAGCACUGUUUCGGCAAGGGGGUCAUCCCGACUUACCAACCCGAUGCAAACUGCGAAUACCGGAGAAUGUUAUCACGGGAGACACACGGCGGGUGCUAACGUCCGUCGUGAAGAGGGAAACAACCCAGACCGCCAGCUAAGGUCCCAAAGUCAUGGUUAAGUGGGAAACGAUGUGGGAAGGCCCAGACAGCCAGGAUGUUGGCUUAGAAGCAGCCAUCAUUUAAAGAAAGCGUAAUAGCUCACUGGUCGAGUCGGCCUGCGCGGAAGAUGUAACGGGGCUAAACCAUGCACCGAAGCUGCGGCAGCGACGCUUAUGCGUUGUUGGGUAGGGGAGCGUUCUGUAAGCCUGUGAAGGUGUGCUGUGAGGCAUGCUGGAGGUAUCAGAAGUGCGAAUGCUGACAUAAGUAACGAUAAAGCGGGUGAAAAGCCCGCUCGCCGGAAGACCAAGGGUUCCUGUCCAACGUUAAUCGGGGCAGGGUGAGUCGACCCCUAAGGCGAGGCCGAAAGGCGUAGUCGAUGGGAAACAGGUUAAUAUUCCUGUACUUGGUGUUACUGCGAAGGGGGGACGGAGAAGGCUAUGUUGGCCGGGCGACGGUUGUCCCGGUUUAAGCGUGUAGGCUGGUUUUCCAGGCAAAUCCGGAAAAUCAAGGCUGAGGCGUGAUGACGAGGCACUACGGUGCUGAAGCAACAAAUGCCCUGCUUCCAGGAAAAGCCUCUAAGCAUCAGGUAACAUCAAAUCGUACCCCAAACCGACACAGGUGGUCAGGUAGAGAAUACCAAGGCGCUUGAGAGAACUCGGGUGAAGGAACUAGGCAAAAUGGUGCCGUAACUUCGGGAGAAGGCACGCUGAUAUGUAGGUGAAGUCCCUCGCGGAUGGAGCUGAAAUCAGUCGAAGAUACCAGCUGGCUGCAACUGUUUAUUAAAAACACAGCACUGUGCAAACACGAAAGUGGACGUAUACGGUGUGACGCCUGCCCGGUGCCGGAAGGUUAAUUGAUGGGGUCAGCGCAAGCGAAGCUCUUGAUCGAAGCCCCGGUAAACGGCGGCCGUAACUAUAACGGUCCUAAGGUAGCGAAAUUCCUUGUCGGGUAAGUUCCGACCUGCACGAAUGGCGUAAUGAUGGCCAGGCUGUCUCCACCCGAGACUCAGUGAAAUUGAACUCGCUGUGAAGAUGCAGUGUACCCGCGGCAAGACGGAAAGACCCCGUGAACCUUUACUAUAGCUUGACACUGAACAUUGAGCCUUGAUGUGUAGGAUAGGUGGGAGGCUUGGAAGUGUGGACGCCAGUCUGCAUGGAGCCGACCUUGAAAUACCACCCUUUAAUGUUUGAUGUUCUAACGUUGACCCGUAAUCCGGGUUGCGGACAGUGUCUGGUGGGUAGUUUGACUGGGGCGGUCUCCUCCUAAAGAGUAACGGAGGAGCACGAAGGUUGGCUAAUCCUGGUCGGACAUCAGGAGGUUAGUGCAAUGGCAUAAGCCAGCUUGACUGCGAGCGUGACGGCGCGAGCAGGUGCGAAAGCAGGUCAUAGUGAUCCGGUGGUUCUGAAUGGAAGGGCCAUCGCUCAACGGAUAAAAGGUACUCCGGGGAUAACAGGCUGAUACCGCCCAAGAGUUCAUAUCGACGGCGGUGUUUGGCACCUCGAUGUCGGCUCAUCACAUCCUGGGGCUGAAGUAGGUCCCAAGGGUAUGGCUGUUCGCCAUUUAAAGUGGUACGCGAGCUGGGUUUAGAACGUCGUGAGACAGUUCGGUCCCUAUCUGCCGUGGGCGCUGGAGAACUGAGGGGGGCUGCUCCUAGUACGAGAGGACCGGAGUGGACGCAUCACUGGUGUUCGGGUUGUCAUGCCAAUGGCACUGCCCGGUAGCUAAAUGCGGAAGAGAUAAGUGCUGAAAGCAUCUAAGCACGAAACUUGCCCCGAGAUGAGUUCUCCCUGACUCCUUGAGAGUCCUGAAGGAACGUUGAAGACGACGACGUUGAUAGGCCGGGUGUGUAAGCGCAGCGAUGCGUUGAGCUAACCGGUACUAAUGAACCGUGAGGCUUAACCUUACAACGCCGAAGCUGUU
rnacentral:rRNA from 1 species